UUAAGCGACUAAGCGUACACGGUGGAUGCCCUGGCAGUCAGAGGCGAUGAAGGGCGUGCUAAUCUGCGAUAAGCGCCGGUAAGGUGAUAUGAACCGUUAUAACCGGCGAUACCCGAAUGGGGAAACCCAGUGUGACUCGUCACACUAUCAUUAACUGAAUCCAUAGGUUAAUGAGGCGAACCGGGGGAACUGAAACAUCUAAGUACCCCGAGGAAAAGAAAUCAACCGAGAUUCCCCCAGUAGCGGCGAGCGAACGGGGAGGAGCCCAGAGCCUGAAUCAGCAUGUGUGUUAGUGGAAGCGUCUGGAAAGGCGCGCGAUACAGGGUGACAGCCCCGUACACAAAAGCGCAUGUGCUGUGAGCUCGAUGAGUAGGGCGGGACACGUGGUAUCCUGUCUGAAUAUGGGGGGACCAUCCUCCAAGGCUAAAUACUCCUGACUGACCGAUAGUGAACCAGUACCGUGAGGGAAAGGCGAAAAGAACCCCGGCGAGGGGAGUGAAAAAGAACCUGAAACCGUGUACGUACAAGCAGUGGGAGCACCCUUUUGGGUGUGACUGCGUACCUUUUGUAUAAUGGGUCAGCGACUUAUAUUCUGUAGCAAGGUUAACCGCAUAGGGGAGCCGGAGGGAAACCGAGUCUUAAUUGGGCGUUAAGUUGCAGGGUAUAGACCCGAAACCCGGUGAUCUAGCCAUGGGCAGGUUGAAGGUUGGGUAACACUAACUGGAGGACCGAACCGACUAAUGUUGAAAAAUUAGCGGAUGACCUGUGGCUGGGGGUGAAAGGCCAAUCAAACCGGGAGAUAGCUGGUUCUCCCCGAAAGCUAUUUAGGUAGCGCCUCGUGAAUUCAUCUCCGGGGGUAGAGCACUGUUUCGGCUAGGGGGCCAUCCCGGCUUACCAACCCGAUGCAAACUGCGAAUACCGGAGAAUGUUAUCACGGGAGACACACGGCGGGUGCUAACGUCCGUCGUGAAGAGGGAAACAACCCAGACCGCCAGCUAAGGUCCCAAAGUCAUGGUUAAGUGGGAAACGAUGUGGGAAGGCCCAGACAGCCAGGAUGUUGGCUUAGAAGCAGCCAUCAUUUAAAGAAAGCGUAAUAGCUCACUGGUCGAGUCGGCCUGCGCGGAAGAUGUAACGGGGCUAAACCAUGCACCGAAGCUGCGGCAGCGACGCUUAUGCGUUGUUGGGUAGGGGAGCGUUCUGUAAGCCUGCGAAGGUGGCCUGUGAGGGUUGCUGGAGGUAUCAGAAGUGCGAAUGCUGACAUAAGUAACGAUAAAGCGGGUGAAAAGCCCGCUCGCCGGAAGACCAAGGGUUCCUGUCCAACGUUAAUCGGGGCAGGGUGAGUCGACCCCUAAGGCGAGGCCGAAAGGCGUAGUCGAUGGGAAACGGGUUAAUAUUCCCGUACUUGGUGUUACUGCGAAGGGGGGACGGAGAAGGCUAUGUUGGCCGGGCGACGGUUGUCCCGGUUUAAGCGUGUAGGUGUGUGUUCCAGGUAAAUCCGGUUCACUUUAACACUGAGGCGUGACGACGAGGCACUACGGUGCUGAAGCAACAAAUGCCCUGCUUCCAGGAAAAGCCUCUAAGCAUCAGGUAACAUCAAAUCGUACCCCAAACCGACACAGGUGGUCAGGUAGAGAAUACCAAGGCGCUUGAGAGAACUCGGGUGAAGGAACUAGGCAAAAUGGUGCCGUAACUUCGGGAGAAGGCACGCUGACACGUAGGUGAAGUGAUUUACUCAUGGAGCUGAAGUCAGUCGAAGAUACCAGCUGGCUGCAACUGUUUAUUAAAAACACAGCACUGUGCAAACACGAAAGUGGACGUAUACGGUGUGACGCCUGCCCGGUGCCGGAAGGUUAAUUGAUGGGGUCAGCGCAAGCGAAGCUCCUGAUCGAAGCCCCGGUAAACGGCGGCCGUAACUAUAACGGUCCUAAGGUAGCGAAAUUCCUUGUCGGGUAAGUUCCGACCUGCACGAAUGGCGUAAUGAUGGCCAGGCUGUCUCCACCCGAGACUCAGUGAAAUUGAACUCGCUGUGAAGAUGCAGUGUACCCGCGGCAAGACGGAAAGACCCCGUGAACCUUUACUAUAGCUUGACACUGAACAUUGAGCCUUGAUGUGUAGGAUAGGUGGGAGGCUUUGAAGUGUGGACGCCAGUCUGCAUGGAGCCGACCUUGAAAUACCACCCUUUAAUGUUUGAUGUUCUAACGUGGACCCGUGAUCCGGGUUGCGGACAGUGUCUGGUGGGUAGUUUGACUGGGGCGGUCUCCUCCUAAAGAGUAACGGAGGAGCACGAAGGUUGGCUAAUCCUGGUCGGACAUCAGGAGGUUAGUGCAAUGGCAUAAGCCAGCUUGACUGCGAGCGUGACGGCGCGAGCAGGUGCGAAAGCAGGUCAUAGUGAUCCGGUGGUUCUGAAUGGAAGGGCCAUCGCUCAACGGAUAAAAGGUACUCCGGGGAUAACAGGCUGAUACCGCCCAAGAGUUCAUAUCGACGGCGGUGUUUGGCACCUCGAUGUCGGCUCAUCACAUCCUGGGGCUGAAGUAGGUCCCAAGGGUAUGGCUGUUCGCCAUUUAAAGUGGUACGCGAGCUGGGUUUAGAACGUCGUGAGACAGUUCGGUCCCUAUCUGCCGUGGGCGCUGGAGAACUGAGGGGGGCUGCUCCUAGUACGAGAGGACCGGAGUGGACGCAUCACUGGUGUUCGGGUUGUCAUGCCAAUGGCACUGCCCGGUAGCUAAAUGCGGAAGAGAUAAGUGCUGAAAGCAUCUAAGCACGAAACUUGCCCCGAGAUGAGUUCUCCCUGAGACUUAAAGUCUCCUGAAGGAACGUUGAAGACGACGACGUUGAUAGGCCGGGUGUGUAAGCGCAGCGAUGCGUUGAGCUAACCGGUACUAAUGAACCGUGAGGCUUAACCUU
rnacentral:rRNA from 1 species